UGCAGUCGAGCGGAACGAGUUAUCUGAACCUUCGGGGGACGAUAACGGCGUCGAGCGGCGGACGGGUGAGUAAUGCCUAGGAAAUUGCCCUGAUGUGGGGGAUAACCAUUGGAAACGAUGGCUAAUACCGCAUGAUGCCUACGGGCCAAAGAGGGGGACCUUCGGGCCUCUCGCGUCAGGAUAUGCCUAGGUGGGAUUAGCUAGUUGGUGAGGUAAGGGCUCACCAAGGCGACGAUCCCUAGCUGGUCUGAGAGGAUGAUCAGCCACACUGGAACUGAGACACGGUCCAGACUCCUACGGGAGGCAGCAGUGGGGAAUAUUGCACAAUGGGCGCAAGCCUGAUGCAGCCAUGCCGCGUGUGUGAAGAAGGCCUUCGGGUUGUAAAGCACUUUCAGUCGUGAGGAAGGUAGUGUAGUUAAUAGCUGCAUUAUUUGACGUUAGCGACAGAAGAAGCACCGGCUAACUCCGUGCCAGCAGCCGCGGUAAUACGGAGGGUGCGAGCGUUAAUCGGAAUUACUGGGCGUAAAGCGCAUGCAGGUGGUUUGUUAAGUCAGAUGUGAAAGCCCGGGGCUCAACCUCGGAAUAGCAUUUGAAACUGGCAGACUAGAGUACUGUAGAGGGGGGUAGAAUUUCAGGUGUAGCGGUGAAAUGCGUAGAGAUCUGAAGGAAUACCGGUGGCGAAGGCGGCCCCCUGGACAGAUACUGACACUCAGAUGCGAAAGCGUGGGGAGCAAACAGGAUUAGAUACCCUGGUAGUCCACGCCGUAAACGAUGUCUACUUGGAGGUUGUGGCCUUGAGCCGUGGCUUUCGGAGCUAACGCGUUAAGUAGACCGCCUGGGGAGUACGGUCGCAAGAUUAAAACUCAAAUGAAUUGACGGGGGCCCGCACAAGCGGUGGAGCAUGUGGUUUAAUUCGAUGC
rnacentral:rRNA from 1 species